rnacentral:rRNA from 1 species
GAACGCUGGCGGCAUGCCUUACACAUGCCAGUCGAACGGUAACAGGUUAAGCUGACGAGUGGCGAACGGGUGAGUAAUGUAUCGGAACGUGCCCAGUCGUGGGGGAUAACUGCUCGAAAGAGCAGCUAAUACCGCAUACGACCUGAGGGUGAAAGCGGGGGAUCGCAAGACCUCGCGCGAUUGGAGCGGCCGAUAUCAGAUUAGGUAGUUGGUGAGGUAAAGGCUCACCAAGCCGACGAUCUGUAGCUGGUCUGAGAGGACGACCAGCCACACUGGGACUGAGACACGGCCCAGACUCCUACGGGAGGCAGCAGUGGGGAAUUUUGGACAAUGGGCGCAAGCCUGAUCCAGCCAUGCCGCGUGCGGGAAGAAGGCCUUCGGGUUGUAAACCGCUUUUGUCAGGGAAGAAAAGGUUCUGGCUAAUACCUGGGACUCAUGACGGUACCUGAAGAAUAAGCACCGGCUAACUACGUG